UGGGCGCUUCCCAUUCACGUCAGACUUGCAAUUGUCUCGAUCCCGGGAUCCUUUGACCAGGCUGUCAAGUUCACCGUUCGAAAUUAAUUGCUCGACAUAAAGCGAGAAUUCCCUGCAAUAAUCUGUCAGAUGGCCGUGGUCCUUGUGGAAUUCACAGAAUUUUCCACUUUUCUGGCGGCGAUCCUUGGUUGCAGGGUCCAUAGAGCGAGG
rnacentral:lncRNA from 1 species